rnacentral:lncRNA from 10 species
AAUGAAAAAAAAUACAAAUUAUCAAUGAAAUAAGAAGGUGGUUUUUUGAAAUGUGAAACAAUAUUGAUGAACCUUUAACCAGACUAAGAAAAAAAGAGAAAAUGGAGGGAGGAGCCAAGAUGGCCAAAUAGGAACAGCUCCUGUCUACAGCUCCCAGCGUGACCGACGCGGAAGACCGGUGAUUUCUGCAUUUCCAUCUGAGAUUCUGACCUUCAAGAAGUCUGCCUCUUUGAUAGAUCUUCUCUGUCUGGCUUUACUGGGGUCACCUUCCUUACAUGCUCCAUAUCCAGGCAGGUCUUGGAAAGAAGAAGCCAUGUGUCUAAGAUAGCCCUUCUACAGCAUCGACAGCCAUGUUUGGGACAGUCAACCUGAGAUCGUCGUCUUAGUCAAAAGAUGGUGGAAUCCUGAGGGACUGGCCUGAGUAAGCUCAAAUUUUGGCUCAGGAGAAGAGAUAAAUAAAUAAGAGGACGUGGGUGAAGAAAGAGACCCUGGAUGAGCGAGUGAUCAUCUCAACCCCUUCAACCUUAAAAGAAAUGUGGUUAAAUAAAUCUUUCAUGACUCUCU